UCCCCCAAAAGGAUGGUAAAGCCCGCUUGAUUUGCAACGUUUGCUUGACUGAAUUAAAUCUUAGCAGUGCACUACAGUUUUUUCCAACUUGUUUGCAAGAUUUCUUAGCAAGAAACUUAAGAAAAAGCCCCAGACAUCUGUGAGAACCUUUUUGAAUUCCUCAGAUAAACUGUGUACGACAGCUGAAAUUCUUUGUUAAAACAGGCAGUUGAACUAACAAAAAAAGACAACAUGGGAAACGGUCUUCCCUCUCCUGCACCAGCUGUAAAUCCUGUUCUGUUUGCGCCCCCGGUUGCCACGACGAUCGGUUAUCCCCAACCGAGCCCCAUUCUUGUAACACCACCAGCCAACACUGGAUUGACACCAUUUCAAGGUUCACCUGCAUUAAAUCCAGGCCCGAUGAGUCCGAUGGGCCCGGGAGGGUUUCCUUGACGUCAUUGGUUUUCUUUCUUUCUAACGUGUUUUUGACAUUCAACUGUGACUCAUAUGUGGAAUCAUCAACUUGUAUACUUGCCUUACUUUUUUUUUUUUAAAUCUUUUGUUACUACAGGACUGAUUCUUUGUUGCCUAUGAAUGUAUAAUAUGUAGUCUUCUUUUUUUUUUUCCUGAUGUGGAGUUGUAAAGGGCAAUAAAUGUCUUUGUGACAUUUGUGAAAUGCUCUUUCAUUAUCAUAAGCACUGUAGCCACCUGUUGCCUUCCAAACAACAGAAUAAAACAUGACUUCCUGCGA